rnacentral:rRNA from 1 species
AACGAACGCUGGCGGCGUGUUUAAGACAUGCAAGUCGCACGGGAUAAGACAUGUAGUAAUACUUGUUUUAUUUAGUGGCGCACGGGUGAGUAACACGUGAAUUACAUGCCCUAUAGUGGGGAAUAGCCCAGGGAAACUUGGAUUAAUACCCCAUGGUAUCGAAAGAUUAAAGGUGGCCGCAAGGCUGUCGCUAUAGGAUUGGUUCGCGCCCUAUCCGCGUGUUGGGGAGGUAACGGCUCACCAAGGCAAUGACGGGUACCUGGUCUGAGAGGACGAUCAGGCACACUGGAACUGAGACACGGUCCAGACACCUACGGGUGGCAGCAGUCGAGAAUAAUUCACAAUGGGGGCAACCCUGAUGGUGCAACGCCGCGUGGAGGAUGACGGUCUUCGGAUUGUAAACUCCUGUCAUCUGGGAGAAAGACCUGACGGUAAAUAGCCGGCAGGGUUGAUAGUACCAGAAGAGGAAGGGACGGCUAACUUCGUGCCAGCCGCCGCAGUAA